CCGGUAGCUAAAUGCGGAAGAGAUAAGUGCUGAAAGCAUCUAAGCACGAAACUUGCCCCGAGAUGAGUUCUCCCUGAGACUUAGAGUCUCCUGAAGGAACGUUGAAGACGACGACGUUGAUAGGCCGGGUGUGUAAGCGCAGCGAUGCGUUGAGCUAACCGGUACUAAUGAACCGUGAGGCUUAACCUUAC
rnacentral:rRNA from 1 species